rnacentral:rRNA from 1 species
CUACGGGCUGCACCAGUGAGGAAUAUUGCACAAUGGGGGAAACCCUGAUGCAGCAACGCCGCGUGGAGGAUGACGCAUUUCGGUGUGUAAACUCCUUUUAUCAGAGAAGAAAAUGACGGUAUCUGAUGAAUAAGCUCCGGCUAACUCCGUGCCAGCAGCCGCGGUAAUACGGAGGGAGCAAGCGUUAUUCGGAAUCACUGGGCGUAAAGGACGCGUAGGCGGGUUUUUAAGUCAGGUGUGAAAUCCUAUGGCUCAACCAUAGAACUGCACUUGAAACUGGGGACCUAGAGUAUGGAAGGGGCAGGUGGAAUUAGUGGUGUAGGGGUAAAAUCCGUAGAUAUCACUAGGAAUACCGAAAGCGAAGGCGACCUGCUGGGACAUUACUGACGCUGAGGCGUGAAAGCGUGGGGAGCAAACAGGAUUAGAUACCCCCGUAGUC